rnacentral:rRNA from 1 species
AUGCUUGGAAACAUCUACAAUGGUGUUGAGGAGAUUAUCUGCCUGCCUAGCAACCAAGUUAGCUCCUCCGGGCAUAGGAAGAUGUUGGAUGGAGAGAUGGGAUGCUCUUUUGAGCUCCUGGAUCUCUGCAGCACCAUGCAAGAGAUCUUCGUCGAGUUGAAGACUAUCAUCCAAGAUCUGCAAGUGGCUCUAAGAAAAGGAGAUGAUGCAGCCGUUCAAGCCAAGAUCCAGUCUUAUACCCGCUUGGCAAAGAAGGCUAAGAAACAUUUCAAGAAGAUAUGCAACAAGGCUGCUUCCGGGAAGGCAGAGUGUGGAAUGGUCAGGCUGUUGACCAAGGCGAGGGAGCUGACGGUCUCUCUACUUGAGUCCACACUCCACCUCUUGUCGAAGCAAAUCGAAAUGCCUAAACAAUCUCUUGUUUCCAAGGCAUUUCACAAGAAAAAGGCAGCUAUUUUUGAGGAGGAGCAAUUGCAGGAGUUAGAGUGCAGUAUGGGAGAUCUUGAGAGUGAAGCAGGCCAUCUGUUCAGGAAAUUAGUCCAAAACAGAGUUUCUCUCCUAAACAUUCUUAGCUCAUAG